UACAGAGGUCUCAAGCGUUGUUCGGAUUCAUUGGGCGUAAAGGGUGCGUAGGCGGCGCGGUAAGUCGGGUGUGAAAUCUCGGGGCUUAACCUGGGAACUGCGCUUGUAACUGGCAAGCUAGAGUGUGGCAGAGGGGGUGGAAUUCCAGGUGUAGCAGUGAAAUGCGUAGAGAUCUGGAGGAACACCGAUGGCGAAGGCGGUUCUCUGGGAAUAUCCUGACGCUGAGGAGCGAAAGUGUGGGGAGCGAACAGG
rnacentral:rRNA from 1 species